UACGGAAGGCAGCAGGGGGGAAUAUUGCACAAUGGGCGCAAGCCUGAUGCAGCCAUGCCGCGUGUAUGAAGAAGGCCUUCGGGUUGUAAAGUACUUUCAGUCGUGAGGAAGGUGUUAAGGUUAAUAACCUUAGCAAUUGACGUUAGCGACAGAAGAAGCACCGGCUAACUCCGUGCCAGCAGCCGCGGUAAUACGGAGGGUGCGAGCGUUAAUCGGAAUUACUGGGCGUAAAGGGCACGCAGGCGGUUAAUUAAGUUGGAUGUGAAAUCCCCGGGCUUAACCUGGGAAUGGCAUUCAAGACUGGUUAGCUAGAGUCUUGUAGAGGGGGUAGAAUUCCAUGUGUAGCGGUGAAAUGCGUAGAGAUGUGGAGGAAUACCGGUGGCGAAGGCGGCCCCUGGACAAAGACUGACGCUCAUGUGCGAAAGCGUGGGGAGCAAACAGGGAUUUAGAUACC
rnacentral:rRNA from 1 species